rnacentral:rRNA from 1 species
CCUACGGGUGGCAGCAGUGGGGGAUAUUGCACAAUGGGGGGAACCCUGAUGCAGCGACGCCGCGUGGGUGAAGAAGCGCCUCGGCGCGUAAAGCCCUGUCAGCCGGGCAGAAAAUGACGGUACCUGACGAAGAAGCCCCGGCUAACUACGUGCCAGCAGCCGCGGUAAUACGUAGGGGGCAAGCGUUAUCCGGAUUUACUGGGUGUAAAGGGGGCGCAGACGGCGAUGCAGGCCAGGCGUGAAAGCCCGGGGCCCAACCCCGGGACUGCUCUUGGAACUGCGUGGCUGGAGUGCAGGAGGGGGAGGCGGAAUUCCUGGUGUAGCGGUGAAAUGCGGAGAUAUCAGGAGGAACACCGGUGGCGAAGGCGGCCUGCUGGACUGCAACUGACGUUGAGGCCCGAAAGCGUGGGGAGCAAACAGGAUUAGAUACCCGAGUAGUC